CUACAUGAAGCUGGAGUUACUAGUAAUCGCAGAUCAGAAUGCUGCGGUGAAUGCGCUCCCGGGUCUUGUACACACCGCCCGUCACACCACGGAAGUUGGGGGCGCCCGAAGCCACUUAGCUAACCCUUUUGGGAAGCGAGUGUCGAAGGUGAAAUCAAUAACUGGGGUGAAGUCGUAACAAGGUACC
rnacentral:rRNA from 1 species